AGGAUAACUUAGACUUGAGGGUGCACGGUGGGUUAAGAAAAACAUUUGAUUUGAGUCUUUCUUCACAAAAUCAAAAGAUCAAAAGAAGAUGAAUAGAUGCUUAUCAGAUCUAGAGGCUGGAAGCCUGGGAGAAAGAUGUAUGACUUAUGAUAUGAGCUAUACAUAGCAAGCCAAAAUUAUAACCCAUCAGUCUGGCACCUGGUCAGUUCUCAAGCAAAGCUGAGCUCAUGGAUUGGCAAAUUUACUCCCUAAUAUCAAGAAUGGAGGCAAGAGUUACCUCAAGUUUGUCUUCUCUAGCCUUGUGAUUCUUUGGAAGCUGCCGAAACUCCUCAGUUAAGCGAAAGCACUCAUGGAGAUUUUCAGGAGAGACAAAAUCUACUGCAACUUUCGUACAUGACUGUUUGUUUUGCAAAAAGAAAGGCCUUAUUAUAAGUAACUUACCUAUUAUAUAAUGCUAGAUUGCUUAUUUAUUUUCUUAAAAGAGAAAAGCAAAAUGUAGUAGUUUUCAUUAAUCAUAAUCUCUUCUGCCAUUGAAGUACUAGCAUAAAAAAGCUGACAACCAGUUUGAAAGAAAGAUUGAAAAUAACUUCCCGAAGAUUUACCUUGAGAUUCCUAACUUGAUGUGGGCAACCAGCAGGGAUAAAUACGGCUUCUCCAACUCUCUGUCCAAAUGACCAAGGUUCAACUUCUAUAUGAAAUGAAUCAAGUGAAUCAGUGAUUGCCACAAAGUAAGUUGUAAAAGAAAAGUUGAAUUAUAAUAUACUAACCGAAUUCCUCUUUCA